AGGCUGGUCUCAACGUGAUUCCAAUGUGGGCACAAUAAAACAAAACUAAGGACUGCCCAAAACACGCCUUAUCCAAGGAAGGAACAUGCCCACUGAGGAGGAUGGCUAUCUAUGAUGCCAGGGUUCUUGUUCACGAAACCGAAGAAUGAGCUUCACUCUCAAGGUGGACCCAUCAAUCAAAUAACCCCACCUUGUCAAUCAAGGAGGCACUUCCUAGCAAGAAUUCAUUAUCAGGACGCCCACCUAACAGAUGGAAUCCUUUGUCUACCUCCACACUGGCCAGCUCCUCCCGUGGGGUGUAUUCAAAUAAAACUUUCACUCUGCUCUU